rnacentral:rRNA from 1 species
GUGGGGAAUCUUCCGCAAUGGACGAAAGUCUGACGGAGCGACGCCGCGUGAGUGAAGAAGGCCUUCGGGUCGUAAAGCUCUGUCAUCAGGGACGAACGGCCGGUGGAGUGGAAAGCCACCGGAUUGACGGUACCUGAGAAGGACGCCACGGCUAACUACGUGCCAGCAGCCGCGGUAAUACGUAGGUGGCAAGCGUUGUCCGGAAUUAUUGGGCGUAAAGCGCGCGCAGGUGGGAUCUUAAGUCCAUUUUGAAAGUUCGGAGCUCAACUCCGUGAUGGGAUGGAAACUGGGAUUCUUGAGUACCGGAGAGGAAAGCGGAAUUCCCCGUGUAGCGGUGAAAUGCGUAGAUAUGGGGAGGAACACCAGUGGCGAAGGCGGCUUUCUGGACGGUGUCUGACACUGAGGCGCGAAAGCCAGGGGAGCGAACGGGAUUAGAUACCUGGGUAGUCC